rnacentral:rRNA from 1 species
UGAGGAAUAUUGGUCAAUGGACGCAAGUCUGAACCAGCCAAGUAGCGUGCAGGAUGACGGCCCUAUGGGUUGUAAACUGCUUUUAUAUGGGGAUAAAGUGGGGAACGUGUUCCCUUUUGCAGGUACCAUAUGAAUAAGGACCGGCUAAUUCCGUGCCAGCAGCCGCGGUAAUACGGAAGGUUCGGGCGUUAUCCGGAUUUAUUGGGUUUAAAGGGAGCGUAGGCUGUCUAUUAAGCGUGUUGUGAAAUUUACCGGCUCAACCGGUGGCUUGCAGCGCGAACUGGUCGACUUGAGUAUGCAGGAAGUAGGCGGAAUUCAUGGUGUAGCGGUGAAAUGCUUAGAUAUCAUGACGAACUCCGAUUGCGCAGGCAGCUUACUGUAGCAUAACUGACGCUGAUGCUCGAAAGUGCGGGUAUCAAACAGG